GGGGAACUGAACACUUGGAGGCCAACAGGAAGGUGAAGAAGAACUCAUUCGUGUGCUGGGAGGGUGGCACACCCCAACUCCACAGGGACAGAAGCUCUUGCACUCAGGACCCUUUCAGAGCUGGCCCUGUGUAUGUCGUUAUCUGGCUGUUUAUUUGUAUCUUUUAAAAUCUACUUUGUAAUAAACUGGUGAAGAAUGAAAGCCAGAGGUUCAUAGAGAUAGGUGAUCAGGAAACAGAAUCCUCACUCUUAGGAAUCAUUCAAAGCUGAAUAUGGGCUGGGCACAGUGGCUCACGCCUGUAAUCCCAGCAGUUUGGGAGGCUGAGGCAGGAGAAUUGCUUGAACCUGGGAGGCAAAGGUUGCGGUGAGCCGAGAUCACGCCACUGCACUCCAGCCUGGCUGACAGAGCGAGACUCCAUCUCAGAAAAAAUAAAAAAAAAAAAAAGAAGCUUAGGUUUGGUGUCAAAGCAAAGCACCCACAGCUGUCUGAAGCUACCAAUCUAGGCUUGCAUAACAAUCUUGUGUGACCGGGAUGUGAAAUUUGGGGCUGGAUUAAAAAAAAAAAAAAGACAAGAUGCUCCGUUAAAUUUGAAUUGCAGAUAAGCAACAAAUAAUGUAUUUAUUAUAAGUAUGUCUUCCCUUGUUAACAGUUCAAUUCUGCAUAUUUUCUUCUACAACCUUCCUGUGAAUAUUCCAUUCUACAUAUGUAAAUUUUUAAAAAUGGGAUUGUAUUUACUUUUACUAGUUGCUAUUUUCCCCUUUCCAUGUCAGUAAAUUUCAAUCUAACUCAUUUAUCUCUGCUGUGAUCUUUAUUAUCUCUUUUCUUCUACUAAUUUUGGGUUUGAUUUGCUCUUACUUUUCUAGUUCUUUACAUGCAUCAACAGGCUGUUUAUGUGAAGUGUUUCUCUUUUCUGAUACAGAAGCUUAUAGCUAUAAACUUCCCUCUUAGUACCUCUUUUGCUGUAUCCCAUAGGUUUUGGUAUGUUAUGUUUCCAUGAUCAUUUGUUUCAAGAAAUUUUUCAAUUGUUUUUCUUAAUGUUUUCAUUGACUCACUAGUCAUUCAGGAGCAUAUUGUUUAAUCUCCAUGUGUUUGUAUAGUUUCCAAAAUUCCUCCUUUAUUGAUUUCUAGUUUUAUUCCACUGUGGCCAGAGAAGAUGCUUGAUAUUAUUUCAGUUUUUUGAAUGUUUGAAGACUUGCUUUGUGACCGAACAUAUGAUCUAUCCCUGAGAAUAAUCCAUAUGCUGAGGAAAAGAAUGUGUAUUGUGUAGCUGUUGGAUGAAAUGUUCUGUAAAUAUCUACUAGGUCCAUUUGGUCUAUACUGUGGAUUAAGUCUGAUGUUUCCUUGAUGAAUUUCUGUCUGGAAUAUCUUUCCAGUGCUGAAAGUGGGGUGUUAAAGUCUCCAGCUAUUAUUGUAUUGGAGUCUAAGUCUUUCAUUAGCUCUAAAAAUAUUUGCUUUAUGUAUCUGGAUGCUCCAGUGUUGAGUGCAUAUAUAUUUACAACUGUUAUAUCCUCUUGCUGAGUUGACUCUUUUAUUAUUAUAUAAUGACUUUCUUUGUAUCUUCUUGUAGUUUUUUUCUUGAAGUCUAUUUGUUCUAAUAUAAGUAUAGCUACUCUUGCUCUUUUUUUGUAUCCAUUGGCGUGGGAU
rnacentral:lncRNA from 1 species